rnacentral:rRNA from 1 species
UACGUAGGGACCAAGCGUUGUCCGGAAUCAUUGGGCGUAAAGAGCGUGUAGGCGGUCCGGUCAGUCGGUUGUGAAAGUCAAGGGCUCAACCCUUGAAUGCCGGCCGAUACUGCCGGGCUAGAGUCCGGAAGAGGUGAGUGGAAUUCCUGGUGUAGCGGUGAAAUGCGCAGAUAUCAGGAGGAACACCGAUGGCGAAGGCAGCUCACUGGGACGGUACUGACGCUGAGACGCGAAAGCGUGGGGAGCAAACAGG